rnacentral:lncRNA from 1 species
AUCCACGCUACCUGAAAGAAGGCCGCCUUCUGAAUCCAACGAUACCGGUUAUGUGCACAUCGGACCUACGCUUCAAAAGAUACGGACAGAUCCACGCUACCUGAAAGAAGGCCGCCUUCUGAAUCCAACGAUACCAGUUAUGUGCACAUCGGACCUACGCUUCAAAAGAUACGGACAGCUCACUGGCUCUGCUUCGGUGACAUCACUGAAGUUUCACAUCUGACCCGGACCCUCACUUACUUCGAGUCCUUUUGCAAUGGCUGAACAAGCUGAGAGGAGAAAAGCUGACCGGCGCUUCACUGCUUGGUUUGCCACAGACCGCAGGAGAACCUACCUGUCCACCUGGCGAGAAACAGCACGCCGGAACAAAUAGCCUCAGAGAACCUCGCAGGAGAACUUCUGAACCGUGGCUUCUUCGUGACAGACCUGCCCCUGGGAGCCCGGAGCCGGAGGUUUGGCGGAGGAGGCUGAUGACCCGUCCUGUCUUCAUGAAAAAUAAGUGUACUCUGACCGUGCAACACACGUGCGAAACACAAAAAGCACCACGAGAGGAUCCAUGCUACCUGAAAGAAGGCCGCCUUCUGAAUCCAACGAUACCGGUUAUGUGCACAUCGGACCUACGCUUCAAAAGAUACGGACAGAUCCACGCUACCUGAAAGAAGGCCGCCUUCUGAAUCCAACGAUACCAGUUAUGUGCACAUCGGACCUACGCUUCAAAAGAUACGGACAGGUAAGCUUUGGCCAAUCAGAUCGCAUAUGCUAACGAGGGUGGAAUUAAUGAGGGUGAAACUCGUUUUUAUCUAUAUACCUAGCUGCAACUGACCCCAAACUAGCCCCUAAACCUUAACCCUCAAAACUGCUAGCCUUAGCCCCAAACAAAACUGCUAGCCUUAGCCCCACUGACCGUAACCCACUGACCCCUGGCCCCACCGUUUUUAAACGUGCCAGUCCCUAGACUCUGUAAACCUUUAUCAACCAGACGCUUCAUCAAAUUCUGUACAGAAAUAUCAUAAAACUAAUAUCAUAUUCUCCAGGAUAUAACCCUUGGCUUCUCGGUCGCCCUCUCCUGGAUAAAACUGUGAAUAGCCAUGUGUAAAAAACUGAUUAGGAUUCCAAUAUUUUAGCAGGAUUUGACACUCCAGGCGGAGCUCUUGAGCGGAUGACUUCACUCAAAGACAUCUUUCCAGUCUAAUUUUAAUGAUGCACUCUCUCUCUCUUUCACAAACACACACAUACACUCCUGUGCACACUCACACGCACGUGUGCACACUCACACGCAUAUGCAGUCAAAACACACAGACGCACACGAACUGGCUGGAAAACUAUUUUUAUUCAGGCUAGUGAUACCUUGUUCCUAAAAAGACAAAUGAUUUGACGGGUUAUUUCGUUUGGAUGUAUUUCUUGUUUUUAUCGAUGACUGGCUUCCUUUUUGUCACGCUUUAGACUGAUGUACGGUCACAUUGGAUUUGAAAACGACAUCCUUUCUUCCAUAGAUCCACGCUACCUGAAAGAAGGCCGCCUUCUGAAUCCAACGAUACCAGUUAUGUGCACAUCGGACCUACGCUUCAAAAGAUACGGACAGGUAAGCUUUGGCCAAUCAGAUCGCAUAUGCUAACGAGGGUGGAAUUAAUGAGGGUGAAACUCGUUUUUAUCUAUAUACCUAGCUGCAACUGACCCCAAACUAGCCCCUAAACCUUAACCCUCAAAACUGCUAGCCUUAGCCCCAAACAAAACUGCUAGCCUUAGCCCCACUGACCGUAACCCACUGACCCCUGGCCCCACCGUUUUUAAACGUGCCAGUCCCUAGACUCUGUAAACCUUUAUCAACCAGACGCUUCAUCAAAUUCUGUACAGAAAUAUCAUAAAACUAAUAUCAUAUUCUCCAGGAUAUAACCCUUGGCUUCUCGGUCGCCCUCUCCUGGAUAAAACUGUGAAUAGCCAUGUGUAAAAAACUGAUUAGGAUUCCAAUAUUUUAGCAGGAUUUGACACUCCAGGCGGAGCUCUUGAGCGGAUGACUUCACUCAAAGACAUCUUUCCAGUCUAAUUUUAAUGAUGCACUCUCUCUCUCUUUCACAAACACACACAUACACUCCUGUGCACACUCACACGCACGUGUGCACACUCACACGCAUAUGCAGUCAAAACACACAGACGCACACGAACUGGCUGGAAAACUAUUUUUAUUCAGGCUAGUGAUACCUUGUUCCUAAAAAGACAAAUGAUUUCACGGGUUAUUUCGUUUGGAUGUAUUUCUUGUUUUUAUCGAUGACUGGCUUCCUUUUUGUCACGCUUUAGACUGAUGUACGGUCACAUUGGAUUUGAAAACGACAUCCUUUCUUCCAUAGAUCCACGCUACCUGAAAGAAGGC